GAUGAACGCUGGCGGCGUGCCUAAUACGUGCAAGUCGAGCGAACGGACGAGAAGCUUGCUUCUCUGAUGUUAGCGGCGGACGGGUGAGUAACACGUGGACAACCUACCUAUAAGACUGGGAUAACUUCGGGAAACCGGAGCUAAUACCGGAUAAUAUUUUGAACCGCAUGGUUCAAAAGUGAAAGACGGUCUUGCUGUCACUUAUAGAUGGAUCCGCGCUGCAUUAGCUAGUUGGUAAGGUAACGGCUUACCAAGGCAACGAUGCAUAGCCGACCUGAGAGGGUGAUCGGCCACACUGGAACUGAGACACGGUCCAGACUCCUACGGGAGGCAGCAGUAGGGAAUCUUCCGCAAUGGGCGAAAGCCUGACGGAGCAACGCCGCGUGAGUGAUGAAGGUCUUCGGAUCGCAAAACUCUGUUAUUAGGGAAGAACAUAUGUGUAAGUAACUGUGCACAUCUUGACGGUACCUAAUCAGAAAGCCACGGCUAACUACGUG
rnacentral:rRNA from 1 species